rnacentral:rRNA from 1 species
UAAACGACUCUCGGCAACGGAUAUCUCGGCUCACGCAUCGAUGAAGAACGUAGCAAAAUGCGAUACUUGGUGUGAAUUGCAGAAUCCCGUGAACCAUCGAGUUUUUGAACGCAAGUUGCGCCWGAAGCCAUUCGGCUGAGGGCACGUCUGCCUGGGCGUCACGC